CACUGGGAAAGGUUCUCUUUCAGGAGAUCUCUCCCUUUGGAGUUUUCUACUGCAAGCUUAGGAUAUGGCUUUACCUAUUUGAGGGAAAAGGUCAGAAGAAACUUGGGCAGAUCUGCUCCAGAUUAAACUAAACCUGGUUGUUCUGAUAAUUACUGCAGUCAUCUGAAGCAUUCACCCAGAUUUGAGCUGAAUGUCACAGCAAUGUUUUUGCAGCAUACCUGUGCAGGCAGGAUCUUCAGGCUAAGCUGGAAUUCAUUUUAUCUUUCCACAGCAGCCUUUUAUCUGCUUUGAAAAAAAAGACUACUGGAGAGAAGAUCUGUUUCAAAUCUGGAUUUUUGGGAAGCUUUAGCAGCCAUUCAUCUGCAGAUGACCAUUUUCAGUGAACUGUGGCUAUACUUGGCUUUCAAGAAUCAAAGAUGGGUAAUGCAGAAGAGACACUAGCAAAGACCAAGCUACUGAUUUUCCACUUUUUCUUAACUGCAAGAAUAUCCAUGUUUUCUGUUUAGCCUUGUGCUGGGAUCAAAGGAUCCAAAUGGUUGUGCUAGUGUGCGUUACAGCUUCUGGAUAAAUUACUUAAUGUUAUUGUAAAACCUAAACUGAUGUGACCCUUGUUCUCAUCAAUCUUAUAUUUAAUCUUUAUAUAGUGGCUUGUGUAGAAGGUUCUUGUACUGCUAUCCUUGAUACAAAGAUAGCAGCAAUUAAAAUUCUGCACUUGCAUAUAAUAAAGUGUGAUAUUUUUAGUGUUGUUGA